GGGCAAGGCCCCCUAUAUCGACGAUUUACGAAAGAGGGACACUUUCGUCGUGAACCAGGAGGUGUUGUUCGUACUGGUAGGGACCAAUCUGCAAAAAAAAGGUCUGCCGGCUGGACCCCGCAACCGCGGAAAGGCGACCCCACACGCGCCCCGCCUCGGAGACUUCGCCGCCCGCUCCGCGUCCCCCGACCCCGAGGCUGCCUCCGCUACCGCUACUCUGCUGGCUGCUGCACCUGCACCACCCCAAAAUCAGCGGUGGGGCCGAGAGCGACCGCCUUCCCUCUUUAUCCUCCCCGUCUCCCGCCGUCGUCUUCACUGAUUCACUCCGACGCCUCCCCUGCCGCUGCCGCAACUGGGAGGCGGUCCCUGUCGCGCGCGACGACGAGCCUUCAUGACGGGGACACGCUGCUGAUUCAUAGCGCACCACCCGCCGGUUCGCCCUCGGGCUCUCUCGCGCCCCUCCAACGGAUUACUGGUGCCCAACGCUUGUGCUUGCUGUGUAGCCUGGCGCGUCUGCUCGCGGCCGAUACCUCCGCGGCCGGCGGCGAUGGGCCAGGACCUCGUCGAGAUCCAUCCGAGCGAGCUCCAGUUCACCUUUGAGGUGAAGAAACAAAGUUCAUGUGUCGUCCACCUAAUCAACAAGUCCAACGACUAUGUUGCUUUCAAGGUUAAAACAACAUCUCCUAAAAGAUACUGUGUUCGACCAAAUACUGGGGUUAUCCUUCCAAGGAAAACAUGUGAAUUCACAGUUACCAUGCAAGCGCUCCGAACUGCUCCGCCAGACAUGCAACUAAAGGACAAGUUUUUGGUACAGACCACAAUUGUUCCUUAUGGUACAUCUGACGAGGAACUCGUUCCUGCCUUUUUCUCCAAAGAAACUGGCAGAUACAUUGAGGAAAGCAAAUUGAGAGUUGUUCUUGUUAGUGCAUACCAAUCCCUUGAAGAGCAACCGACUAAUAAAAUUCAUGACACUGAGCCAGUUGUUGAAGUUCCUGUACUGAAAGAGGUGCCAAAUAUAGAGAACGAAGUGCCAGAUGCUGCAAAAGAAGUUCCUGCCCCUCUGGUACAAGCUCCAGCGAUUGUGACUGGAAUACCUUCACCUGUCGAAGAGACUCCUGGCCUGAGAGAAUUCCGUGUGCCGCUGAAUGAAGCACCAGCUGUAUUGGCAGAAUCUCCUUCCGCUCAAAAAGACCCUUCUGUUAUUACAGUUGAACAUGCCUCUACUGUUAUAAUUGAACAUUCCCCUGCUAUUUCCAUUGAAUCCCCUCCUUUGAAACAAAGUGUCACAGUUUUUAAGGAAUCUCCUCCUUCGAAACAAAGCAUUGCAGCUUUCAAGGAAUAUCCUCCUCCUUCGAAACAAAGCAUUGCAGUUUUUAAGGAAUCUCCUCCACUGGAGGAAACUAGUCCUAAAGAAGCUGUUGUGCUAAGUGACCGAGGACUCUUCAGUGUGCAGAACCAUCAAUUAUCUCAUGUAACAGAAGAUGUUCAGAAUCUGAAAUCAAAGCUCAACAAUCUCGAAUCAAAAUUGGAAGAGGCUGGAAAGAUGAUAAUAAGGCUAAAAGAAGAGAGCAGAAGUACCACCCAGGAGCGGGAUAAGCUACAGCAAGAAAUGGUAUUCCUAAGAAAGAAGGGAACCCCAAGGAGCCAAGUGGGUUUCCCCUUGCUGUUUGUUGUCUACGUCGCGCUUCUUGGUACCUUACUCGGUUACCUGCUCCGUCUAUGAAUUCAGAACUCUAAGAAAACAAAAAAGUUCAGCAGCUGGGAUGCCUCAUAUGCGGCAAGAGAACUGAAUUGAACGGCAGUUGCACUCUAAAAUGUUGGAGAGAGGCACGAAACAGUGUAUCGAAAAUCCAACAGGACCGUUCAAGGUACCAAGAUGAAACAAGAGAUCACUGCUCAUGCAACGAGAAGUACAAAGGAUGGGCACGCACAGCGACCUUCAAACAGAAAUCCAUUCGACCUGGUGGGCUCUGCAGAGAGGCAACAUUAUUUCACGUGGUCCUGCAGCAAGCAGCAGAACGUAGAAUACUUCCCUUCUUUCUUGGAUCAGCAACGGACCGGCCAGCCAAGUUCAAUCAACUACGGCUAACUACGGCUGUCAGUCGUGCAUUUAUAUAGUGAAUUUUGAAAUAAGACAUACAGCCUUCACACAUCAUGCAAGCAUGAGUUUUCCCGAGGGGCCUUGGUCCAUUCAUGCAUGCACGUGGCAUUUAAGACCAUAAUCUCCUGAUACAGGUGUCUGUUAACUAAAAAGUACAAAUGAUGCCUGUACAGAAUUCAAGUUGACGUUGAUGGCCUCACGGCCCACAAUAUAGAUCAAAAUUGAGGAAUAAAAGCCUUGCAGGUCAAUAUAACCAAAUCAACACUUGACAAGGAUAGUGCAGGUCUCGGGAGGAGAUGAAUUUGACCAGGAUGUACUGAAAGGGGGGGGGGGGGGGGGGGGGGGGGGGAGAGCAAGAAAAUGAUGCCAGUCAAAUCAUUCCUACCGAUGUGGCUGUAACAAACUUCAUCCUAGUUGCGUUGCUGGUAUUGGUACUAGCUGGUGUGCAAAUUGAUUUGGUUGAGUGAGUUGUCUCGUCUCCAACCAAAAGGACAAAGAAGAAAAAAUGAACCGCAAGCAACAUGGAAGGGAAAGCGGAUAGCGACGCUUGAACAACUAGCCCCACGCAGCCACGAAACAAAAAGGCCGAAAGCGAAGAAGAUCUACAUCAGACAGACACAGACAGAUACCGUAGAACAGAAAGAAAGGCCUCCCGUCCAGAGUCGUGUCAGCGUAAAGAAAUUCCACAGCCAACAAGAAGCCUUCUCGCCUCCUUGACUCCUUCCUCCAUCCUAUCGAGAACCAUGGGCAAGCUGUGCUGCAGCCAGGAAGAUGACGAGCCGGCGUUCAACCUUCUGGGGCUGCUCGUCACCGUCGUCCUCGCCUUGCUGCUGCUCAUGCUGUGCACACCUCCCCGGCGCAGGCGCUGCGUCGCAUACUACCCUCCUUGCUGCUAGGAACAUUCGAUUUCAAGGUAGGGACUAGCUAGGGAGGGCGUGGUCUUCUGGUGGGUGGGGGCGGGGAGGUGAAUAGGAAGGAGAUGGGCACCGAGCUAGGCUUCGAAUGCGGAGCUUAGCUAAAGUCCCAAGUUACUAUGAAAUAAAUUGCGCUGAGUUUGUAAAGCGUUCUGUUAGGCCCCGUUUGGUUCAUUUAGUCACUAGACUAAAUUUUAGUGACUAAAGUUUAGUCGCUAAAGUACCUUGUUUGGUUCCAGUGACUAAAUCGGACUAAAGAGCAUUAAUUGCUGUGAAUAAUGACUGUUUUACCCCUAUUAAUUAAUAGAUGUUUGCUAUAAGAAGAAAGUUGAGAGUGCAAAUAAGGUAAAAAUACUACUUUAGUCCCUUUUAGUCACCCCUUGGUGACUAAAGAACUAAAAUUUAGUCACCCCAUUUUAGUCAUCAUGUUUGCUUCUUUAGGGACUAAAAGUGACUAAAAUUUAGUCACUAAACUUUAGUCACCUCUAACCAAACGGGGCCUUAGUACUGUCAAAUGUGCCUGAUCUGCAAUGCAACCUGCCUGUUCCGAAUGUU